rnacentral:rRNA from 1 species
CCUACGGGUGGCAGCAGUGAGGAAUAUUGGUCACUGGGCGAGAGCCUGAACCAGCCAAGUCGCGUGAGGGAAGACGGUCCUAUGGAUUGUAAACCUCUUUUGCCGGGGAGCAAAAAGCGGUACGUGUACCGCAUCGAGAGUACCCGGAGAAAAAGCAUCGGCUAACUCCGUGCCAGCAGCCGCGGUCCUACGGAGGAUGCGAGCGGUAUCCGGAUUUAUUGGGUUUAAAGGGUGCGCAGGCGGCGAGUUAAGUCAGCGGUAAAAUUUCGGGGCUCAACCCCGACGAGCCGUUGAAACUGGCGUGCUAGAGUGGGCGAGAAGUAUGCGGAAGGCGGGGUGUAGCGGUGAAAUGCAUAGAUAUCGCGCAGAACUCCGAUUGCGAAGGCAGCGUACCGGCGCCAGACUGACGCUGAGGCACGAAAGCGUGGGGAUCGAACAGGAUUAGAUACCCCAGUAGUC